AUGUGGAAUCUUGUUCUUCCUCAACACACCCUUGAAAGUCACGUGCUCGGGUGUUUUGUUUGUAGGAUCGCAGCUGGGUAGUAUUCAAGGGGUUGAGAGAGGUUUAAACUGCAGAGGUGUCUGAGUUUUGUUGUAAUCUUGUCUGAGGUCACAUAGCUUAUUAAGUGGUGGAGCCCAGAGGAGUCUGACAUUCCAGUGACCCCCCAGCCAUGAUGCUAAGACACUAUGGCACUUGGGGGUCAAUAUUGUUUUUAACGCAGAUUCACUUUAAUCACAUUACAAGGGCACAGGAAUGUUCUUCAGUUCCACAGAGAAAUAUGCCUUCUCCCAUUUUCCCUGAAGCACAGGGCCCUUAGACCUCUCUUUUAUUGUCAUCUUUUUUUUCAAAGACACAGGUAGAGAAAAAAACAGCAUUGGCAAGGUGAAGGAGCAACACUGAAAGUCACACUCGGACUCAGGUUUAGGCUGCCUUGAACAUGCUGGCCCUGUGGCACCCACCGACCUGUGGAGAUAAAAGCAUCCCAUCCUACGGACCACCACCCACCCAGACAGAGUGAAGAUGGGCUCUGUUGAGCCUUUUGUGAUACCUGCUCUUGGAACCGAGCCACCAUACUGUGAGGAAGUCCAAGCCACCCUGUGGAGAGGCGGGUAUGGAGAGAAGCAGCAUACAGUGACUCGAAGCCGGCGAGUGAGUCAUCUUGGAAGUGGCUCUUCCAGCCCCAGCUGACACCACGUGGGG